UCAGUGCUAUGCAGCAGAUCUGGCAGGGCUGAAGGAUUGAGAAGGACCUGAUCCUGAAUUUAAUAAUAUGUGAGCAGCUCACUUUCCAUUUUCUUUGUAAUCAAACAUUCCCUGAAGUGUAGUAGAAGGCAGGAAGAAAGACACUUGCUAAUUUGAAUUUCAGAAAGCACCUAAACCACAUUCUGAUCUCCAGGUUAAUAAACAAGCCUUUCAUCUUCAGCUCCAGGUUGCCUGAGUUUCAGUGCAAGCGUGAGGGUUGAAACGCAGGAGUCUAAUGCAGACUACUUCCCCACAGAGGCUCACAUGAUCAUCAGAAGGUUAUGUCAUUCUUAGUAUAUUUUAAACUUAAUAAAUCCAUGAUGGUUAGAAAAGAAUUGAGCUUUUUUUUUUUUUUAAAAACCAGCAGAAUGAAAAGCAUCCUAAUUCUCUUCUGUAAUGCAGCUACCCUGUAUUCCUUGCUGUCACUUUGUUUCUCUGAAUAUGAAAAUUUCAAAAUUAAAAAAAAAAGAUUUUUACACAGGAGAAAGAGUGUUAGAAGGACAAGUAACUCUGCAGGUAGGGGUUAGAAGCUGUUUAUAAAUUAGUCCCAUAAAAAUAUAUGUACAUUUUCAUUUGUCAUUGGAAUAUGCAAGUCAGAUUCUCAUGUAGUCGUACAGAGUAAAAUGAAUGGCAUACUCCUUUGUACUUGAAUUAGAAAAUGGGCUGCAGGUCUGUGUAUUCUUGGCAUUUUCUGGCUUUGUAAAGGUUGCAGGCAUAUGGGCCUAGCGUUUCUCGUAGUUUUUGAUUUUUCUGUUUUGACAAUGUGAUACUCUGAGGUAUGGAAGAGUCUGACAUAUCUGGGGCCCUGCAAACUUCUGGAUGGAGUAGCCAGAGCUAAUAUGGUUCACCAAAACCUGGCUUCCAUAUGUUAUAUCCUUCCACCUGGGUUUCAGGAUUUCAUCAUGGGGUCUGGAUUUGUUGGUCUC